rnacentral:rRNA from 1 species
AUGGCGCAGCUCUGGGCGGUGUUCCUGGCCGUGGGGUCGCUCGCCAUCGGCCUGCUCGGGGUGCUCGGAGUCUGGCUCUGCUACCUGUUCCAGGCCGUGGCGCUGGGCCCACCUCCCGCCCCGCCGCCCGAGACGCCAGACACGAGCGACGACGGCGACGGCGACGACAAGAACGGGCUAUCGGAGGCGGAGCUGAGGCGGCUUGGCGGGGUCGUCCAGGCGGAGCCCGCAGUCGACGACGAGGAGGAGGCGCUCUGCCCCAUCUGCCUCGACGCCAUGGAGCCGGGCCGCGCCGUGCGCGUCCUCCCCGGCUGCAACCGCGCCUUCCACCAGGACUGCGUCGAUCGGUGGCUGGCCAUCUCGCCGCGCUGCCCCGUGUGCAACAUCUGGGCCACGCCGCAGUCGCCGCAGGCCUCGCUGACGGUGGCCAAGACUGCUCCGGGGUGCUGA